rnacentral:tRNA from 1 species
CGGGGUGUAGCGCAGCCUGGUAGCGCGCUUCGUUCGGGACGAAGAGGUCGUGAGUUCAAAUCUCGCCACCCCGACCA